CUGCCACCUUCAGUGAAACUGUGUGGAAGUUCACCUUGCAGAUCAUCUCCAGAUCCAUCAUCACGAAGCUGCGGCAGGAGGACCUUGCCCUGACCAACACCAGACUACUGCUUUGUCUGCAGGAACUGGGAGCAGAAGCAUGCAGCCCUCUGCAACCUCUAUGGCAGCAUUUCCAGGCCUUAAUCUUCUGCCAGGUGACCCAUCGUCAGGGCUUCCCUCAGGCUGCUGGAAUCAGUGCGUGCAGCAGUAACGAUCACAACCUGUGAAGCUCACACAGCCUAAAGUGUAGAAGCCUUGCAGAGAAAUCUUGUCUAAUGAGAGGGCAAUCAGCAAACGUGGGAAAUUUAACAAGAGCAACUGCCUGAUUCUGCACAUGGGACU